CCUACGGGAGGCAGCAGUGGGGAAUAUUGGACAAUGGGCGAAAGCCUGAUCCAGCAAUGCCGCGUGAGUGAUGAAGGCCUUAGGGUUGUAAAGCUCUUUUACCAGGGAUGAUAAUGACAGUACCUGGAGAAUAAGCUCCGGCUAACUCCGUGCCAGCAGCCGCGGUAAUACGGAGGGAGCUAGCGUUGUUCGGAAUUACUGGGCGUAAAGCGUGCGUAGGCGGUGACUCAAGUCAGAGGUGAAAGCCUGGAGCUCAACUCCAGAACUGCCUUUGAAACUAGGUCGCUAGAAUCAUGGAGAGGUGAGUGGAAUUCCGAGUGUAGAGGUGAAAUUCGUAGAUAUUCGGAAGAACACCAGUGGCGAAGGCGGCUCACUGGACAUGUAUUGACGCUGAGGCACGAAAGCGUGGGGAGCAAACAGGAUUAGAUACCCUGGUAGUCCACGCCGUAAACGAUGAUAACUAGCUGCCCGACGGCGUCAGUGGAGUCGUUUGGUUGGGUCGGCGAGCGUAACCGACGAUUAAGUUAACGUUCCGUCCGUCGGGGUAGGUACGGUCGGCGAAGAAGUUAAACGUAACGAAAGGAAAGUUAGUACGGCGUGAGACGUCGACCGACGGACGACGACGAGGGAGGAGG
rnacentral:rRNA from 1 species